UCGCCGGCGGAGCCCGGAGCGCGCGCCCGCGGGGCCGCGCCUGGGAUGCCUCCGGUGCGGCGGCGAGAUGUCUGGGGGCUGCACCCUCUGCCCCCGCUGCGGCCGAGAGCAUCAGCCCCUCAUCGCCACGCGCGCCCCCAGGCUCCGGAGCCAAGCGAGCGGUAUCCUGGGGCCAGCGCCGGCCUUUCAGCCCUUCGCAGCCCCAGCCCCGAGGAGGGCAGACCCCUCUGGAGGGUGCAGCUGGGGCCCCUGAGCGCCAACACGUUGGGCCCCUUCGGGCAAGGCACGUCGCCUCCCAGAGUCUUGGUGUCCUCUGCUGCCAAGUGGAAGUGAUGACAGGGAGCCUGCGGGGUCGUGAGAGGUUUUCAAGGAGAUGGAGGGGAAAGGACCCAGACAGUACCAGACAGGAACUCUGGCUGCUUCUACUAUGAAUGAUCUCGACAAGUCACGGAACUUUGAGUCUCCUCACCUGUCAAAUGGGAUAGCAAUACCUAUUUCCUGGAGUUGUCAGGAUUAAAUGAGACGAUGCAAUGAAAGUGCCUCACAGAGCGUAGUACAUAGUAGGUCUAAACACAUAGGAACUUCUUUUUUUCCCCUUGGGGACCUUCUGAGCUGCUUGUGUCUGCUAAACAUACAGUAGGCACUCAAUAAAUACUCAGCAAUGAACUCAA